UUUUAUGAAUGAGCAAAGAAAGUGGUUUCUUGAGAAGGAAUCUACUUCUAGCAAAGAUGCUGUGAA
rnacentral:pre_miRNA from 1 species